rnacentral:rRNA from 1 species
GAUGAACGCUAGCGGCAGGCCUAACACAUGCAAGUCGAGGGGGAGGUUACUUUCGGGUAACUGAGACCGGCGUACGGGUGCGUAACGCGUAUACAAUCUGCCUUUCACUGGGGGAUAGCCCGAAGAAAUUUGGAUUAAUACCCCAUAGUAUAGUAAUACGGCAUCGUGAUGCUAUUAAAGCUUAGGUGGUGAAAGAUGAGUAUGCGUUCUAUUAGCUAGUUGGAGAGGUAACGGCUCCCCAAGGCGAUGAUAGAUAGGGGUUCUGAGAGGGAUGUCCCCCACACUGGUACUGAGAUACGGACCAGACUCCUACGGGAGGCAGCAGUGAGGAAUAUUGGACAAUGGUCGGAAGACCGAUCCAGCCAUGCCGCGUGCAGGAUGAAGGUCUUAUGGAUUGUAAACUGCUUUUGUAAGGGAAGAAUAAGGGCUACGCGUAGUUUGAUGACGGUACCUUACGAAUAAGCAUCGGCUAACUCCGUG